rnacentral:rRNA from 1 species
UACGAAGGGGGCUAGCGUUGCUCGGAAUCACUGGCGUAAGGGUGCGUAGGCGGGUCUUUAAGUCAGGGUGAAUCCUGGAGCUCAACUCCAGAACUGCCUUUGAUACUGAGGAUCUUGAGUUCGGAGAGGUGAGUGGAACUGCGAGUGUAGAGGUGAAAUUCGUAGAUAUUCGGAAGAACACCAGUGGCGAAGCGGCUCACUGGUCCGGUACUGACGCUGAGGUGCGAAGCGUGGGAGCAAACAGG